rnacentral:tRNA from 2 species
GCCAAGGUGGCAGAGUGGCAAUGCAGCGGCCUGCAGAGCCGCCUUUCCCCGGUUCAAAUCCGGGCCUUGGCU